rnacentral:rRNA from 1 species
AUUGAACGCUGGCGGCAUGCCUUACACAUGCAAGUCGAACGGCAGCGGGCCUUCGGGUGCCGGCGAGUGGCGAACGGGUGAGUAAUGCAUCGGAACGUGCCAUUGAGUGGGGGAUAACGUAGCGAAAGUUGCGCUAAUACCGCAUAUUCUGUGAGCAGGAAAGCAGGGGACCGCAAGGCCUUGCGCUCUUUGAGCGGCCGAUGUCAGAUUAGCUAGUUGGUGAGGUAACGGCUUACCAAGGCGACGAUCUGUAGCGGGUCUGAGAGGAUGAUCCGCCACACUGGAACUGAGACACGGUCCAGACUCCUACGGGAGGCAGCAGUGGGGAAUUUUGGACAAUGGGGGCAACCCUGAUCCAGCCAUGCCGCGUGAGUGAAGAAGGCCU